UACGAAGGGGGCUAGCGUUGCUCGGAAUCACUGGGCGUAAAGCGCACGUAGGCGGAUCUUUAAGUCAGGGGUGAAAUCCUGGAGCUCAACUCCAGAACUGCCUUUGAUACUGAGGAUCUCGAGUCCGGAAGAGGAGUGUGGAAUUCCUGGUGUAGCGGUGAAAUGCGCAGAUAUCAGGAGGAACACCAAUGGCGAAGGCAGCACUCUGGGACGGUACUGACGCUGAGACGCGAAAGCGUGGGGGAGCAAACAGG
rnacentral:rRNA from 1 species